rnacentral:rRNA from 1 species
CCUACGGGAGGCAGCAGUGGGGAAUAUUGGGCAAUGGGCGCAAGCCUGACCCAGCAACGCCGCGUGAAGGAUGCAGGCUUUCGGGUUGUAAACUUCUUUUAAGAGGGAAGCGUAGAAGACGGUACCUCUUUAAUAAGCCACGGCUUACUACGUGCCAGCAGCCGCGGUAAUACGUAGGUGGCAAGCGUUGUCCGGAUUUACUGGGUGUAAAGGGAGUGUAGCCGGGCCGGCAAGUCAGAGGUUAAAUCCCAAGGCUCAAGCUUGGAACUGCAUUUUAAGCUGUUGGUCUUGAGUAUCGUAGAGGCAGGCGGAAUUCGUAGUGUAGCGGUGAAAGGCGUAGAUAUUAGGAGGAACACCAGUGGCGAAGGCGGCCUGCUGGACGACAACUGACGGUGAGGCGCGAAAGCGUGGGGAGCAAACAGGAUUAGAUACCCGAGUAGUC